UCUCUGGAGUGACGGGUACACUGUGGGACCGCCGCUGCUAAAGCGGAGGAAGGAAUGGGCAACGGUAGGUCAGUAUGCCCCGAAUAUCCCGGGCUACACGCGAGCUACAAUGGUUGGUACAAUGGGGUAUCUACCCCGAAAGGGGACGGGAAUCUCCUAAAACCAAUCUUAGUUCGGAUUGAGGGCUGCAACUCGCCCUCAUGAAGCUGGAAUCCGUAGUAAUCGCGUUUCAACAGAACGCGGUGAAUACGUCCCUGCUCCUU
rnacentral:rRNA from 1 species